AGGGCCCAAACUGCAACCCAAAACCCACUUAUUUAUCGCAAAGUGCCAACACGGCAAUUUAACCUGAAUACUGAGAUUUUGCUACUUAAAA